CGCCUGAACUUAAGCAUAUCAAUAAGCGGAGGAAAAGAAACCAACAGGGAUUGCCCCAGUAACGGCGAGUGAAGCGGCAACAGCUCAAAUUUGAAAUCUGGCCCUUACGGGUCCGAGUUGUAAUUUGUAGAGGAUGCUUUUGGCAAGGCGCCGCCCGAGUUCCCUGGAACGGGACGCCACAGAGGGUGAGAGCCCCGUCUGGCUGGCCGCCGAGCCUCUGUAAAGCUCCUUCGACGAGUCGAGUAGUUUGGGAAUGCUGCUCAAAAUGGGAGGUAUAUGUCUUCUAAAGCUAAAUAUUGGCCAGAGACCGAUAGCGCACAAGUAGAGUGAUCGAAAGAUGAAAAGCACCUUGAAAAGAGGGUUAAAUAGUACGUGAAAUUGUUGAAAGGGAAGCGCUUGUGACCAGACUUGGGCGCGGCGGAUCAUCCGGGGUUCUCCCCGGUGCACUUCGCCGCGUCCAGGCCAGCAUCAGUUCGUCGCGGGGGAAAAAGGCUUCGGGAACGUGGCUCCCUCGGGAGUGUUAUAGCCCGUUGCGUAAUACCCUGCGGUGGACUGAGGACCGCGCAUCUGCAAGGAUGCUGGCGUAAUGGUCACCAGCGACCCGUCUUGAACCACGG
rnacentral:rRNA from 1 species